GACGAACGCUGGCGGCGUGCUUAACACAUGCCAGUCGAACGGACAGGCCCCUUUCUUGCUACUCGGACGGUGACCGGGGGAGUGACACGAGCGUAACCUUCACCUAACUUUGGGACUACUUUAGGUAACUGGAGCUAAUACCGGAAAGGAAUCCUUUCUGCAUGGUGGGGGUUGGAAAGCUUCGGCGGUUUUGGAUGGACUUGCGGGUUAUCAGCUUGCUGGUGGGGUAGUGGCUUACCAAGGCUUUUACGGGUAGCCGGCCUGAGAGGGCGACCGGCCACACUGGGACUGAGAUACGGCCCAGACUCCUACGGGAGGCAGCAGUGGGGAAGAUUGCACAAUGAGCGGAAGCCUGAUGCAGCAGCGCCGCGUGCGGGAUGACGGUCUUCGGGUUGUAGACCGCAUGCAGCAGGAGCGAAGCUUGUCGUGACGGUACCUGCAGAAGAAGCACCGGCUAACUACGUG
rnacentral:rRNA from 1 species